rnacentral:rRNA from 1 species
GAUGAACGCUAGCGGCAGGCUUAACACAUGCGAGUCGAGGGGUAUAGGAAGCUUGCUUCCUAGAGGCCGGCGCACGGGUGCGUAACGCGUAUGCAACCUACCUUUUACAGAGGGAUAGCCCAGAGAAAUUUGGAUUAAUACCUCAUAGUAUAUGUUUUUCGCAUGUUAGACAUAUUAAAGUAACAACGGUAAAAGAUGGGCAUGCGUCCUAUUAGCUAGAUGGUAAGGUAACGGCUUACCAUGGCAACGAUAGGUAGGGGUCCUGAGAGGGAGAUCCCCCACUCUGGUACUGGGAAACGGACCAGACUCCGACGGGAGGCAGCAGUGGGGAAUAUUGGGCAAUGGGCGCAAGCCUGAUCCAGCCAUGCAGCGUACAGGAAGAAGCAUCUUUGGUGUGUAAACUGCUUUUGUACGGGAAGAAACACUCCCUCGUGAGGGAGCUUGACGGUACCGUAAGAAUAAGGAUCGGCUAACUCCGUGCCAGCCGCCGCCGUAACAC